GAUGAACGCUGGCGGCGUGCUUAACACAUGCAAGUCGAACGAAGCAACUUUGAAACUUCGGUUUCAAAGUUGACUUAGUGGCGGACGGGUGAGUAACGCGUAGGUAACCUGCCUUAUACAGGGGGAUAACAGCUGGAAACGGCUGCUAAUACCGCAUAACACAAAGGUAUCGCAUGAUACUUUUGCCAAAGAUUUAUCGGUAUAAGAUGGACCUGCGUCUGAUUAGCUAGUUGGUGAGGUAAUGGCUCACCAAGGCGACGAUCAGUAGCCGACUUGAGAGAGUGAUCGGCCACAUUGGGACUGAGACACGGCCCAAACACCUACGGGUGGCAG
rnacentral:rRNA from 1 species